rnacentral:rRNA from 1 species
CCUACGGGUGGCAGCAGUGGGGAAUAUUGCACAAUGGGGGAAACCCUGAUGCAGCAACGCCGCGUGAGCGAUGAAGUCUUUCGGGUUGUAAAGCUCUGUCUUCAGGGACGAUAAUGACGGUACCUGACUAAGAAGCUCCGGCUAACUACGUGCCAGCAGCCGCGGUAAUACGUAUGGAGCGAGCGUUGUCCGGAUUUACUGGGUGUAAAGGGAGCGUAGGCGGUAUGUGAAGUCUGAUGUGAAAGACACGGGCUCAACCCUGGGACUGCAUUUGAAACUGUAUGACUGGAGUGUAGGAGAGGAAAGUGGAAUUCCUAGUGUAGCGGUGAAAUGCGUAGAGAUUAGGAGGAACACCAGUGGCGAAGGCGGCUUGCUGGACGAUAACUGACGCUGAGGCUCGAAAGCGUGGGGAGCAAACAGGAUUAGAUACCCGAGUAGUC